AUUGAACGCUGGCGGCAGGCCUAACACAUGCAAGUCGAACGAGUGGCGGACGGGUGAGUAAUGUCUGGGAAACUGCCUGAUGGAGGGGGAUAACUACUGGAAACGGUAGCUAAUACCGCAUACCAUCGGAUGUGCCCAGAUGGGAUUAGCUAGUAGGUGGGGUAAAGGCUCACCUAGGCGACGAUCCCUAGCUGGUCUGAGAGGAUGACCAGCGCCACUGGACGUGAGCGACGGUACAGACUCCUACGUGAGGCCGCAGUGUGGAAUAUUGCACAAUGGGCGCAAGGCUGAUGCAGCCGUGCCGCGUGUAUGAAGCAGGCCUUCGGGUUGUAAAGUACGUUCAGCGGGGAGGCGUUACACGCAGAAGAAGCACCGGCUAACUCAGUGCCAGCCGCAGCGGUAAUAC
rnacentral:rRNA from 1 species